AUUGAACGCUGGCGGCAGGCCUAACACAUGCAAGUCGAACGAGUGGCGGACGGGUGAUUAAUGUCUGGGAAACUGCCCGAUGGAGGGGGGUAACUACUGGAAACGGUAGCUAAUACCGCAUACCAUCGGAUGUGCCCAGAUGGGAUUAGCUAGUAGGGGGGGUAACGGUCCACCUAGGCGACGAUCCCUAGCUGGUCUGAGAGGAUGACCAGCAACACUGGAACUGAGACACGGUCCAGAAUCCGACGGGAGUCAGCAGUUGGGAAUUGUGCACAAUGGGCGCAAGCCUGAUGCAGCCAUGCUGCGUGUAUGAAGAAGGCCUUCGGGUUGUAAAGUACUUUCAGCGAGGAGGCGUUACUCGCAGAAGAAGCACCGGCUAACUCCGUGCCAGCAGCCGCGGUAAUUC
rnacentral:rRNA from 1 species